GGCAAGGUGGCCGAGCGGUCCAAGGCGCCACGUUAAGGGAUUCAAAACCCUUAAUCCAGAAUCCGUGGUCUCGAAAGGGGCGUGAGUUCGAAUCUCACCCUUGUCA